UACGUAGGGACCAAGCGUUGUUCGGAUUUACUGGGCGUAAAGGGCGCGUAGGCGGCGUGUUAAGUCAGCUGUGAAAUCUCCAAGCUUAACUUGGAACGGUCAGCUGAUACUGAUGUGCUAGAGUGCAGAAGGGGCAACCGGAAUUCUUGGUGUAGCGGUGAAAUGCGUAGAUAUCAAGAGGAACACCUGAGGUGAAGACGGGUUGCUGGGCUGACACUGACGCUGAGGCGCGAAAGCGUGGGGAGCAAACAGG
rnacentral:rRNA from 1 species